rnacentral:rRNA from 1 species
UAAGCGGAGGAAAAGAAACUAACAAGGAUUCCCCUAGUAACUGCGAGUGAAGCGGGAAAAGCUCAAAUUUAAAAUCUGGUGGUCUUUGGCCAUNCGAGUUGCAAUCUAGAGAAGCGUCUUCCGCGCUGGACCGUGCACAAGUCUCCUGGAACGGAGCGUCGUAGAGGGUGAGAAUCCCGUCUUUGGCAUGGACACACCAGGGCUUUUGUGAUGCGCUCUCGAAGAGUCGAGUUGUUUGGGAAUGCAGCUCAAAAUGGGUGGUGAACUCCAUCUAAAGCUAAAUAUUGGCGAGAGGCCGAUAGCGAACAAGUACCGUGAGGGAAAGAUGAAAAGCACUUUGGAAAGAGAGUGAAACAGUACGUGAAAUUGUUGAAAGGGAAACGCUUGAGGUCAGUCGCGUCGACCGAGACUCAGCCUCGCCUCGGCUUGGCGUACUUCUCGGCCCGACGGGUCAGCAUCAAUUUCGCCUCUUGGAUAAUGGCGAGGGAAACGUGACACCUUUACGGUGUGUUAUAGUCUCUCGUCGCAUGCAAGGGUCGGGAUUGAGGAACUCAGCACGCGCCUUUGGGCGUCGGGGCUUUGCCUACGAUACGUGCUUAGGAUGUUGGCGUAAUGGCUUUAAACGACC